rnacentral:rRNA from 1 species
CCUACGGGAGGCAGCAGUGGGGAAUUUUGGACAAUGGGCGCAAGCCUGAUCCAGCCAUGCCGCGUGCAGGAUGAAGGCCUUCGGGUUGUAAACUGCUUUUGUACGGAACGAAAAGGUUCUUUCUAAUAAAGAGAGCUCAUGACGGUACCGUAAGAAUAAG